rnacentral:rRNA from 1 species
GCCCUAANACGAUGUCAACUGGGUUGUUGGUGGGGUUAAACCCAUUAGUAACGAAGCUAACGCGUGAAGUUGACCGCCUGGGGAGUACGGCCGCAAGGUUAAAACUCAAAGGAAUUGACGGGGACCCGCACGAGCGGUGGAUGAUGUGGAUUAAUUCGAUGCAACGCGAAGAACCUUACCUACCCUUGACAUGCCAGGAAGCCUGCUGAGAGGCGGGUGUGCCCGAAAGGGAGCCUGGACACAGGUGCUGCAUGGCUGUCGUCAGCUCGUGUCGUGAGAUGUUGGGUUAAGUCCCGCAACGAGCGCAACCCUUGUCACUAGUUGCUACGGUAACGGGCACUCUAGUGAGACUGCCGGUGACAAACCGGAGGAAGGUGGGGAUGACGUCAAGUCCUCAUGGCCCUUAUGGGUAGGGCUUCACACGUCAUACAAUGGCGCAUACAGAGGGCUGCCAACCCGCGAGGGGGAGCCAAUCCCAGAAAGUGCGUCCUAUCCGGAUUGCAGUCUGCAACUCGACUGCAUGAAUCGGAAUCGCUAGUAAUCGCGGAUCACAAUGUCGCCGUGAAUACUUCCCGGGUCUUGUUCACACCGCCCGUCACACCAUGGGA